GAUUCAGGAUUUCAGGCAUGAGGUAAAUUUGCUGGUGAAGCUCCGUCAUCCAAAUAUAGUGCAAUUUCUUGGAGCUGUUACUGAGAAAAAACCCUUAAUGUUAAUAACUGAAUACUUGCGAGGGGGCGAUCUGCAUCAGCACCUCAAGGAAAAAGGUGCUCUUACUCCAUCUACAGCAGUCAAUUUUGCUAUGGAUAUAGCAAGAGGCAUGACUUAUCUUCACAA
rnacentral:misc_RNA from 1 species